rnacentral:rRNA from 1 species
ACUCAAAUGAAUUGACGGGGGCUCGCACAAGCGGUGGAGCAUGUGGUUUAAUUCGAUGCAACACGAAAAACCUUACCAGGGUUUGACAUUAGAACAAACUAAUUUGAAAAAUUUAGUAAGCUACGGCGUUCUACACAGGUGGUGCAUGGCUGUCGUCAGUUCGUGUCGUGAGAUAUUGGGUUUAGUCCCGCAACGAACAAAACCCUUUCCUAUAGUUUUACAAUUUUAAAAUUGUUUUUUGUCUAUAGGGACUGCCAAUUAUAAGUUGGAGGAAGGAAAGGACGAUGUCAAGUCAUCAUGCCCCUUAUACUCUGGGCUACACACGUGCUACAAUGGAUACGACAAUAAGUAGCAAUUUUGUAAAAAUGAGCUAAUCUAAAAACGUGUUCUCAAUUCGGAUUGUAGACUGCAACUCGUCUACAUAAAGAUGGAAUCGCUAGUAAUCGCAGGUCAGCUAUACUGCGGUGAAUCUGUUCUCGAGCCUUGUACACACCGCCCGU